rnacentral:lncRNA from 10 species
UAUAACACUGUCUGCAAAGGUCUUGUAGAUUUAGUCGUGAGGCCGCUGUAGACUGAGCUGUCGGGAAGGAAUGAACUCUAGACACGCCGACUUGACUUAAGGGCUGUAAUACUAAUCGCGAACAGCUGCAGCUUCAGGCCUGAGGCCUGCAUAGGCUGUGAACCCACAGGGAGGAAUGUAAUGGUUCCAGACAUGCCCGCCUCAGAGGUCUGCAGGUUCACUCUUGUAAGCCAGCAAGACCACAAACUCUAGACACAGCGUCUUUAAGGACUGUUAACACUAGGACGGUCUGUGGCUUCAUUCUUGAAGUCAGUGAAGUCAAGAACCCACCAAUUCCAGACCUACAAGUUCACCUGGUAUGAUUUGAGAGACUACCAUCCCCAGGCCAACCCUAGUGUUGGUACAGGAGCAGGCGACACCAAAAAGAAGAACAUAAAUAACGGCACUAACCCUGAGACAACCACUUCUGGUGGUUUCCACUCACCUGAGGAUGUGAGUCUUGGCUGGCGAGGCUCCUGGGGUCAGAGGGCCCAAGGGGUGGUGGAAGCUAAUUGUUAAGAUUGUGGAAGAACUGCCAGGUACUGGUUAAGAAUUCUGGGUUUGAAUCCUCUCCAUCUGCUGGGGAUAUGAUUUAGGGCAAAUUGCUUGAGCUCUUCGGGCCUCUCUUUUCACAUCUGUAAAAUAGGA